GGGAUAGCCCAGGGAAACCUGGAUUAAUACCGGAUGGAGACGGGACCUGCGAGUGGCGGGAUCCGGGAAAGGCGCUACGGCGCCGCCGGGGGAUGAGUCUGCGUCCCAUUAGCUAGACGGCGGGUAACGGCCCACCGUGGCGACGAUGGGUAGCCGGCCUGAGAGGGUGGACGGCCACAUUGGAACUGAGACACGGUCCAGACUCCUACGGGAGGCAGCAGCUAAGAAUCGUUACCGCAAUGGGCGAAAGCCUGACGGAGCGAACGCCGCGUGAACGAAGAAGGACCGUGAGGUUGUAAAGUUCUUUUCGGGAAGGGGGAACAACCGUGGCCAGGGAAUGGCCGUCGGGAUGACGUGAAUCCCGGAAUAAGCCCCGGCUAACUACGUGCCAGCCGCCGC
rnacentral:rRNA from 1 species